ACUAUAUUGGCAGAAAAGUGCAAUGAAUUUAGAAUUCAUAAAUGUGAUUUAAUAUUACAUAUAGUA
rnacentral:tRNA from 1 species